rnacentral:rRNA from 1 species
ACGCUCGACACCUACGGGAGGAGCAGUGAGGAAUAUUGGUCAAUGGGCGCAGGCCUGAACCAGCCAAGUAGCGUGAAGGAUGACUGCCCUAUGGGUUGUAAACUUCUUUUAUAUGGGAAUAAAGUUUUCCACGUGUGGAAUUUUGUAUGUACCAUAUGAAUAAGGAUCGGCUAACUCCGUGCCAUCAGCCGCGGUAAUCUGAGCGGGCUGGCAAGGC